rnacentral:rRNA from 1 species
AACGUAGGAGACAAACGUUAUCCGGAAUUACUGGGCGUAAAGGGCGUGUAGGUGGUUGUGUAAGUCUGGCGUGAAAUUUUUCGGCUUAACCGGGAAAGGUCGUCGGAUACUGCACAACUAGAGGACGGUAGAGGCGUGUGGAAUUCCGGGUGUAGUGGUGAAAUGCGUAGAGAUCCGGAGGAACACCAGUGGCGAAGGCGACACGCUGGGCCGUACCUGACACUGAUGCGCGAAAGCGUGGGGAGCAAACAGG